rnacentral:sRNA from 1 species
GUAUCUGAAACCUGACGAGGAUGAGAACCUCCGGGGGCAAGAGGUUCGGCCCGAGCGAAGCGAGAGAACGUUGCGUCAGCAACGGCCCGCAGUGGCAAGUCAUCCUCUGUCACCGGCAG